rnacentral:lncRNA from 1 species
GGUCAGGUGCUUCCAUUCUGCCAUAUUGUGGAAGCUCCCAGCUAGCUAGACCCGCCCAGGUCCUGCGCCUGUCCUCUGUCGCGGAUUCCCCAUUCUCAUCAUCCCGAGGACUUUGCGGAGCUCUGUUCCUUACAGACCCGGGUUGGCUUGAUGGUGGUGAUUCCCAACUGAUCCAUCCUCCAGCAUUUCUGCUGAUGUUUAUUAAGCAGACAGCAUUAAUUAACAGACAGCUCUCCUUCAGGAGCCUUCUGCCUACCGCUCAAGCUUCCUUCACGAAACAAGUGACUCAUGAUAAAUCUCUGGCUGGACUUCCCCUUUCUCAAAACACAGGAAGUUUGUGUGUUGGCAAUCCCGCGGGUGAACAAUUUCAGCUCUGCUGUCAAUUUCACAAGAAGAGCACCUGGACAACACAAAGGGACCAAAGAAGUGUUUAUCUCAAAGUGAAUACGUGGGCAGUGGAAGGAGCAGUGGCCAAAUCAGGCGUCCCGGAGUCCAAACCGCCAGUCAAGUUAUAACAACUCAAGGGCCAGAGUCCCUUUCUUGCUGUGUAAUAAAGGAGCCUUAGAACAAAGACUCCUGAGUUCUGGCUCCAGACUCCCUA